rnacentral:rRNA from 1 species
UACUCCGAGGAGACGGACGAGCACGACGACAACGAUACCUGCCGUCACCACGCUCGUAGACGUCCGUGCGUGCCUUCGGUCCGGCCCUUGUCCUCACGAGAAGGGAGGGACCGGCCGACGGGCUUCUCGACACCGUUGGAGUCAAAGCUGAUGGGCAAGCCGUAUCCCGGCCCGACGAAGGUCGGCGGUGUCGUUCCGAAACUUGAGUAGACGUUAUCUUCGUGGGUGCCACGGAGCGUCGGGGGGUCUGAGAAGGACGCGCUGCCGUAGUGGCUCCAACAGUUACUGUAGUCUGGGCCGCUGUGUAGUCCAUAACUACAUAGCAAAAGGGUUAGGCAGAGGCACUCUGGACUCCACCUACGUAUGUUGUAGAGGACCUUGGGACCCUCUAGAGAGCCAUAGUUAAUGUAUAUAAAUUUGAAGUGACCAACGCUGAAGUUGUACAUACACGAGGUCGUGCUGUGCUUGUUCUACCACCCAGUCACGUCAAGAUGUACGGGACUGCUUCUAUAGUGUCUAUGUCACCGGUCCGUCCUGACGUUGCCAUGUCCUACAACGUGACGGCAUCCAAUGAGACUCAACCCACGGCCGAACCUGUAGUUCAAACAGGCGGUGUUCUAACCUUUCGCCUUCAAGGUUAGCGUCUCAUUGGCUUCGAGGUAUACCCUAUGUUAAUUACAUCAUUGGAGACUAAUGCGGAUAUAAAUGACCCGUUAGCGGCAACUACUUGGACCGUGUCUAAUACGUACAGAGUCGUUGGUAUCGUCACCCGCUAAGCUAAGUAGAUUGCAGUGAAUAAUAACAGUGACACUGGCAUCAAUGGCUCCGUUAGGUAUGUAUUGGUUACCGACGAGGGCACUGUUUCCCAUGGUAGGCUAUGUUGCCUUCUGGUUGACGAGAUCUACCACACCUCUUUAGUCACAGGGAAAGGGUAAACCGGAUCUCCUACCAACAAGACGUUCCUACAGUAAAGUCGAGUUAACAUGUUUAAGAAGAAACAGAUGGGAGGUCUAAGAACUGUACUUGAUGUUAUGUCUUCCCUAGUGAAUACAUUUCUUAUAUGCAUAGUACCUCCCCGACUUCUCAUGGAAAGCCACUCACAUGGAGUUCUAGGUCCGGAGAUACAACGGAGGCGCCCACAUCAUGGUGUCGUCACCCGACAUCGGUUAAAUUGUACGGUGCUCAGUGUCCUCUUAUGCUGGCCUAUACGUACACAGUCGUACUUAUCGUGUACGAACCCACAGUUUAGACUUGCUCUUAUAAUGCCAAUGGCAACGUGUACAUACCGGCCGAAGUUACCCUUAGGUAUAUAACGCCUACCUACGUUUCUACAACUGCUCACGCUCUGUGGUCCUUGUACAUUACCCUAAACGGUAUUGUGAUUUCCUUCAGUAAUAACGUGACUUACAGGAUCAUUAUGUCACAUACUGUGACGUUGGUUCUACACGUGUGGCUGGUUUUUUGUUUUAGACCAUGAUCCAUAGCGGUAACCCUAAUCGCAACCAAAACCUUAAUAUGAAGAGUACAGUUAACAUUAUAAUGAGUAGGCAUCUACCUUUUUUCUGUAGUUCUUCUUUGACGUUUCUUUCGUAAAAACCGUCUUGGUUCCAGAUGAGGAGCUUGUUAACUAUAGCAGUCUACUUUUACGUUUACUGUUGUGAUUCUAAAAGAGUGAUAGUCUCAAUCUUUUCCGUUGUUUAAUGAAACUAGGGUGUGCAUAGCAACCAGCACCUCCCGUACCGUACCAAAUAUUUCCGUAGAAUAGGCUAGUUGCCCAUCACCGGUAUUUCUUCAGAUUUCAGUAACUCGUUCAACUCUAUUCGGUCAAAUAGUUACUCCAACGUCAGGAGAGGGUCCAUUUAGUGGCAUUAUAACACUUCGAGAAACCAACAACAGAACUCUCUCUUCAGGGUGACGAUCACAUACUGAAGUAGGGAUUACCAAGUAAUAAACCUUAGGAAGUACGGUCAUGGUGAUCGUCGAGAUAGAACAGUACCCUACUAACAAACUUUUAACGACGUGUUCGACGACCUCGUGAGAUAAUGGAGGUGAGUCGACGAAGUCAUAGUUAUAAAGUAGCACUACACUUCAGGUGAUUGUAUGAGAAUCUACCUUUAAUGUGACGUUUUCAUAGUCUAAAACCGCGAAGUUCCAACCAAGGAUAACUGGUUUGAGUACAGCAAUGUUUAUAUGUUCCGUGUAAACCUAUGAACCUAGGUCUUAUAAUGGUGUGACCAUACAACUUACUCUUCUCACUACAGAUAUCAAAACCACAUCAUGAACAUCUCAAUGACGAGUCUUUCUUCGGAUAAAAAUGUUCACUGAGACCCGAUUGCGUUUUGAACAAGUUGAUGAAGGAAACCCUCUACUCUCUCUUUGGUGAACGUCUUUAUCAUCGAUGAGUUCAAGAGCUCCUUCGUUGUUUACUUCUCUAAUUACUACAGCGGUUAGAACGCCUCUGAACGAACGUUGAUGCUCCACUUCUCUCUGGAUGUUACUUUGUUCACCUCUACUUUGAUGUCAUACUCGCUAGAUUUUCCAACUCUAGUACAAUCCAACAACAGUUUUUACUUCUGUACGUUGGGAACAAUUCACCUGUUUCGGUUCUGAGAGAAGGCUUCAACUGAUGAGGCUCACCAUAUCAUCUGUCUCAAUUAUAUCGAAGAGUUUCCUUAGUUUUAACGAUGUCGAACCUCGUUCUCAAGUACCGUAGCCGCUGAGAGGGUGCGAUCGAUCAGGUAGCACAAGAAGCGUAAUUACAAACCAACAGAUGAAAAGGAUAACUUCACGAUGUAAAAAACGCAGGAUACUACCUCUCCCAUUUCAUAUGAGAUGUAACAUAUCACGUGAUUUAUUACCCGCGAAAUAUGACAGGUCUAACCUUUUAAAGUAAGAGUAAGAACAGAAUUGUUUUUUUUUUAACACGAUGCCUACAUGGUAUAAUAAUAAUACAGGUCCGGCGUAACACUUAACAUUGUAGGAGUAAAAGUACACAAUUUUGUUAAUUUUUCGUUUCCUACAGUGUUUCACAAGUUUAGUUCAUUACGAAAAUGAACCUCAACGGGUUUAUUUACGUUUUUUUCAGUUAUAUAAUUACGUUUCGGUGAGGUAUUUUAAUCCUAUAGAACAAUAUCGAAAGCCUGGAGUAGUACCCUGGAAGGUAUUUUAAUGGAAUAGUUCGAGGUCUCCUUGAGAACACCUUCUUCCUCUGACACUACUGCCGAGGCUACUGGCUUGCCUCAGCCCUAGUCGACAACGCUUCAGGCCGCUCGGGUGGUCUAGCUCGUUUUGAAGCCAUUGCUCUGCUCCGGGCUUCUUUUCCAACGCGGGUCUACUUUCCAAGUACUAGUGUCGUUAGCGCCUGCUACCGGUUGGCUCACUUGGGCCGCCUGGUUCCUACGUAAAAGACGAGUCACGCCUUGAUAACAAUCCCUGUCGUAGGGCUAGUCGUAGGUGCAUACCUUAGUGGUCAUCUUUUUCCCGGAUUACACUUCGUGUAAUCAGGGCCAAAAUUUAACUUGGCCGUGAUUACACUGGUAAUCACGGCCAAGGUUGCCGAUCCGCCUGCUACCAGUAAUCAGGACCAAGCAGCGCUUGGAGAUCAUAGCCAAGCACGGUGUUUGACCAUGAUUUCUCCACCACCGUCCGACCACAGUCCGACGCCGGGUUGGUCGUGGAGAUCAUGGCCAAGUACGGUACUUGGCCCUGAUUUCUACGUGGAAAUCAGGGCCAAGCAUAUUAGUUGGCCCUGAUCUCUACGGAGAUAUAUUUGGGAAGCAGCUCGGGCGGGGGUAAAGAGAGACAAAAAAGGGAAAGUAAGGAAGGAGGGGAGACAAGAAGGGGUAACGAGCUCGAGUGUGAGAUAAAAACGGUUUUAAAUACUUUUAAACUUCCGUGGGGUAGGUAGGUUCACUAGUGUUUCCAAUCGUUGAAACAGGAAAGUAGAGAGUAACGAUCUAAUCGAGAACGUUACGAGAUAUUCAUAUUACUAAACACCCAAAAUAAAACCCUCCUUAAUAUACACCAUCAUAAAACUAAAUAUACGUUUAACUCCAGUUUUAUUGAGAAUCAAACGUAUACAUCCACACCAAAUGAAUCACAGAAGGGCAGAGACAGGAUUGGUGGCAGCUAGUGGGCGUGGCAGGGCAGCGGCCGAGGUGUAACAC